AGUUUGAUCAGUGGCUCGAGGACGACGCUGGCGGCGUGCCUAACACAUGCAAGUCGAGCGGGGUCCAUCCGGUAGCAAUACCGGGGAAGACCUAGCGGCGAACGGGUGAGUAACACGUGAGAAACCUGCCCCGAAGUCUGGGAUAACCCGAGGAAACUCGAGCUAAUACCGGAUGUCUUCUUCUGAUCGCAUGGUCGGAUGAAGAAAGAUUUAUCGCUUCGGGAGGGUCUCGCGGCCUAUCAGCUAGUUGGCGGGGUAACGGCCCACCAAGGCGUCGACGGGUAGCUGGUCUGAGAGGACGAUCAGCCACACUGGGACUGAGACACGGCCCAGACUCCUACGGGAGGCAGCAGUGGGGAAUAUUGCGCAAUGGGCGAAAGCCUGACGCAGCAACGCCGCGUGCGGGAUGAAGGCCUUCGGGUUGUAAACCGCUUUCAGUGGGGACGAAUUCAGACGGUACCCACAGAAGAAGCCCCGGCCAACUACGUG
rnacentral:rRNA from 1 species